UACGUAGGGUGCAAGCGUUGUCCGGAAUUAUUGGGCGUAAAGAGCUCGUAGGCGGUCUGUCACGUCGGCUGUGAAAACCCGAGGCUCAACCUCGAGAUGUCGGCGGAAACCGUAUGGCUAGAGUCCGGAAGAGGAGAGUGGAAUUCCCGGUGUAGCGGUGAAAUGCGCAGAUAUCGGGAAGAACACCCGUGGCGAAGGCGGCUCUCUGGGACGGUACUGACGCUGAGACGCGAAAGCGUGGGGAGCGAACAGG
rnacentral:rRNA from 1 species